UACGAAGGGGGCUAGCGUUGUUCGGAAUUACUGGGCGUAAAGCGUGCGCAGGCGGCUUCUCAAGUCAGGGGUGAAAGCCCAGAGCUCAACUCUGGAAUUGCCUUUGAGACUGAGUGGCUUGAGUACGGGAGAGGUGAGUGGAAUUCCCAGUGUAGAGGUGAAAUUCGUAGAUAUUGGGAAGAACACCGGUGGCGAAGGCGUCUCACUGGCCCGUAACUGACGCUCAUGCACGACAGCGUGGGGAUCAAACAGG
rnacentral:rRNA from 1 species